GGGUGACUGCGUACCUUUUGUAUAAUGGGUCAGCGACUUAUAUUCUGUAGCAAGGUUAACCGAUUAGGGGAGCCGUAGCGAAAGCGAGUGUUAACUGCGCGUUUAGUUGCAGGGUAUAGACCCGAAACCCGGCGAUCUACCCAUGGGCAGGUUGAAGGUUGAGUAACAUCAACUGGAGGACCGAACACACGUAUGUUGAAAAAUGCGGUGAUGACUUGUGGGUCGGAGUGAAAGGCUAAUCAAGCCGGGAGAUAGCUGGUUCUCCCCGAAAUCUAUUUAGGUAGAGCCUCGCACGAACACCAUUGGGGGUAGAGCACUGUUAAGGCUAGGGGGUCAUCCCGACUUACCAACCCUUUGCAAACUCCGAAUACCAAUGAGUGAUAUGCGGGAGACACACUGCGGGUGCUAACGUCCGUUGUGAAGAGGGAAACAACCCAGACCGCCAGCUAAGGUCCCAAAGUACUAGUUAAGUGGGAAACGAUGUGGAAAGGCAUAGACAGCUAGGAGGUUGGCUUAGAAGCAGCCAUCCUUUAAAGAAAGCGUAAUAGCUCACUAGUCGAGUCGGUCUGCGCGGAAGAUGUAACGGGGCUAAACUAGUCACCGAAGCUGCGGAUUCAUAAUUUAUUAUGAGUGGUAGGGGAGCGUUCUGUAAGCCGUUGAAGGUGAAUUGAGAAGUUUGCUGGAGGUAUCAGAAGUGCGAAUGCUGACAUGAGUAACGAUAAGGGGAGUGAAAAACUCCCCCGCCGAAAGACCAAGGUUUCCUGUCCCAUGUUAAUCAGGGCAGGGUAAGUCGGCCCCUAAGGCGAGGCGGAAACGCGUAGUCGAUGGGAAACAGAUUAAUAUUUCUGUACUUCUAUAUAUUGCGAAGGAGGGACGGAGUAGGCUAAACAAGCACGGCGUUGGUAGUCCGUGUGAAAGUAUGUAGGUGGUUGUCUUAGGUAAAUCCGGGACUUCAUUAACACUGAGAUACGAGACGAGACUCUACGGAGUUGAAGUUGUUGAUGCCAUGCUUCCAGGAAAAGCUUCUAAGCUUCAGAUAUAUAGGAACCGUACCCCAAACCGACACAGGUGGUUAGGUAGAGAAUACUAAGGCGCUUGAGAGAACUCGGGUGAAGGAACUAGGCAAAAUAGUACCGUAACUUCGGGAGAAGGUACGCUGCUCAACGUUAAACCCUUGCGGUGUAAGCGAAGAGUAGUCGAAGUAACCAGGUGGCUGGAACUGUUUAUUAAAAACACAGCACUGUGCAAAAUCGAAAGAUGACGUAUACGGUGUGACGCCUGCCCGGUGCCGGAAGGUUAAUUGAUUCGGUUAGUCCUCGGACGAAGCUGAUGAUCGAAGCCCCGGUAAACGGCGGCCGUAACUAUAACGGUCCUAAGGUAGCGAAAUUCCUUGUCGGGUAAGUUCCGACCUGCACGAAUGGCGUAAUCAUGGCCACACUGUCUCCACCCGAGACUCAGUGAAAUUGAAUUUGCGGUUAAGAUGCCGUAUACCCGCGGCUAGACGGAAAGACCCCGUGAACCUUUACUAUAGCUUGACAGUGAACAUUGCUCCUACAUGUGUAGGAUAGGUGGGAGGCUUUGAAACCAUGUCGCUAGAUGUGGUGGAGCCAAUCUUGAAAUACCACCCUUGUAUGCGUGAUGUUCUAACCUAGGGCCCUUAUCGGGCUUGGGGACACUGUCUGGUGGGUAGUUUGACUGGGGCGGUCUCCUCCCAAAGAGUAACGGAGGAGCACGAAGGUUGGCUAAGUACGGUCGGACAUCGUACGGUUAGUGCAAUGGCAUAAGCCAGCUUAACUGCGAGACAGACACGUCGAGCAGGUACGAAAGUAGGUCAUAGUGAUCCGGUGGUUCUGUAUGGAAGGGCCAUCGCUCAACGGAUAAAAGGUACUCCGGGGAUAACAGGCUGAUACCGCCCAAGAGUUCAUAUCGACGGCGGUGUUUGGCACCUCGAUGUCGGCUCAUCACAUCCUGGGGCUGAAGUCGGUCCCAAGGGUAUGGCUGUUCGCCAUUUAAAGUGGUACGCGAGCUGGGUUUAGAACGUCGUGAGACAGUUCGGUCCCUAUCUGCCGUGGGCGUUUGAGAAUUGAAGAGGGCUGCUCCUAGUACGAGAGGACCGGAGUGGACGAACCACUGGUGUUCGGGUUGUCAUGCCAAUGGCAUUGCCCGGUAGCUACGUUCGGAACUGAUAACCGCUGAAAGCAUCUAAGCGGGAAGCAGGCUUUGAGAUGAGUUCUCACUGG
rnacentral:rRNA from 1 species